rnacentral:ncRNA from 1 species
CAGAGUAAAAGAAUACGCGUUAAGUGUUUGCCGUACGGGGAGUUGACGGCAAAACGAAAGGCGGCGCGCCGCUUUUUCAGUCAAUGACUGACGCUUUAUAAAGCUGACACCUCAGUCUGAGACGGAAAAGGACACACGCGCUCCUGCGGUGUAUUCUUUGCAUCCCGCUGU